GGAAUAGCCCACUCUACACCUAGGCUAUAUGGAAUAGCCUAUUGCUCCUAGGCUUCAAACCCAUACAGCAUGGCACUAUAUGGAAUACUGUAGGCAAUUUUAACACAAUGAAUCCUGACCCUUGGGAAUGGGAUCUGGAGCCAGUGGGAAGCAUUCUCCGAAUAUGAUAAUGUGGUUAUCUUCUGACGAGUGCUGGCAUUAUCACUUGUUGCUAAAAAAACACCAGGCUUGUUCUGAGGUUCACCCGACUCCACUGCAUGUAUUACGUGCAUGUGUACCUUGGAAUGGAAAAUACAUGACUAAGCCCUGAGACAACUCUGCACUGUAUCCUGCUAUUCUUCCAACUGCAGGACCUCAUGGAGCGAGAGAUCCAAACCUUUCUGAAGUUUCUUCUUGGCACUUUCCUCGCUAGCUGCCAGACAACAUGCUCUGAUUUUUACUCAGUCAUGUAUUGUUUUUGUCUCCCCA
rnacentral:lncRNA from 1 species